CAGCCGCCGCGGGAAUACGUAGGUGGCGAGCGUUGUCCGGAGUCAUUGGGCGUAAAGGGAGCGCAGGCGGGCAUGUAAGUCUUUCUUAAAAGUUCGGGGCUCAACCCCGUGAUGGGAAAGAAACUACAUGUCUUGAGUGCAGGAGAGGAAAGCAGAAUUCCCAGUGUAGCGGUGAAAUUCGUAGAUAUUGGGAGGAACACCAGUGGCGAAGGCGGCUUUCUGGACUGCAACUGACGCUGAGGCUCGAAAGCCAGGGGAGCGAACGGGAUUAGAUACCCCCGUAGUCCCUGUCUCUUAUACA
rnacentral:rRNA from 1 species